rnacentral:rRNA from 1 species
GAUCCUGGCUCAGAUUGAACGCUGGCGGCAGGCUUAACACAUGCAAGUCGAACGGUAACAGGAGAGAGCUUGCUUUCUUGCUGACGAGUGGCGGACGGGUGAGUAAUGCUUGGGAAUCUGGCUUAUGGAGGGGGAUAACGACGGGAAACUGUCGCUAAUACCGCGUAGGGUCGAGAGACGAAAGUGCGGGACCGCAAGGCCGCAUGCCAUAGGAUGAGCCCAAGUGGGAUUAGGUAGUUGGG